ACACCAGGCGCGCCCAAUCUUGUCACGCCCAAAUUUGUUAGAAGACGUACAAAAGCAAAUUAAAGGAGAGUUAGAUAGAAAGAGGGAAGGUGUUCACAAAAGACAGGAAGAUCUCGCCAACAUUUUCAAUAUUACCAAGAUCUGGGGGGUAGUUGUUAUAUGCGAAUUUGUCAAGAUCAGCUAAAUGGGCCGAGCCCAUCAAAGGAGGUUUGUUCAGCCCAAGAAAGUCAAGAUCACUUCAGUCUCAGAGUAACCCUGUCAAAAGAU
rnacentral:lncRNA from 1 species